UACAGAGGGGGCAAGCGUUGUUCGGAAUUACUGGGCGUAAAGGGCGCGUAGGCGGCCUUCUAAGUCGAACGUGAAAUCCCCGGGCUCAACCCGGGAACUGCGUCCGAUACUGGAAGGCUUGAAUCCGGGAGAGGGAUGUGGAAUUCCAGGUGUAGCGGUGAAAUGCGUAGAUAUCUGGAGGAACACCGGUGGCGAAGGCGGCCUUCUGGACAGUGACUGACGCUGAGACGCGAAAGCGUGGGGAGCAAACAGG
rnacentral:rRNA from 1 species